AUACUUGGGUAAUCGCUGUAUGACAUGCUCAUGCAGAGGAAAGUCCAUGCUCACACAAGCUGAGAUGCUUGUAGUGUUCGUGCUUGACGAAAUCAUAAGUCAAGGUAGUGUAACAGCUAACGGCAGAGAAAUGAUCUACGUCCAAAUGGAUAGGACCAGAUUAUCUUGAAAGUGCCACAGUGACGAAGUUUCGUUGGAAACAACGAAAGUGGAACGAGGUAAACCCCACGAGUGAGCAACCCAAAAUUAGGUAGGGGCACUUUUCUGAGGGAACGAAACCAACAGGAAAAGACAGGUUUUUAACCUGUAGAUAGAUGAUUACCACCGGAGUACGAGGUUGACCGCCGUUUGCAGUACAAAGGUACAGAACAUGGCUUACAAAG
rnacentral:RNase_P_RNA from 1 species